CAGUAGCCGCGGUAAUACGAAGGGUGCAAGCGUUAAUCGGAAUUACUGGGCGUAAAGCGUGCGUAGGCGGUGAGUUAAGUCUGCUGUGAAAUCCCCGGGCUCAACCUGGGAACUGCAUCCAAAACUGGCGAGCUAGAGUAUGGUAGAGGGUGGUGGAAUUUCCUGUGUAGCGGUGAAAUGCGUAGAUAUAGGAAGGAACAUCAGUGGCGAAGGCGACCACCUGGACUGAUACUGACACUGAGGUGCGAAAGCGUGGGGAGCAAACAGGAUUAGAUACCCCGGUAGUCCCUGUCUCUUAUAC
rnacentral:rRNA from 1 species